UACGGGGGGGGCAAGCGUUGUUCGGAAUUACUGGGCGUAAAGGGCUCGUAGGCGGCCAACUAAGUCGGGAUGUGAAAUCCCCAGGCUUAACUUGGGAACUGCAUCCGAUACUGGGUGGCUUGAAUCCGGGAGAGGGAUGCGGAAUUCCAGGUGUAGCAGUGAAAUGCGUAGAUAUCAGGAGGAAUACCGAUGGCGAAGGCAGGUCUCUGGGCUGACACUGACGCUCAUGCACGAAAGCGU
rnacentral:rRNA from 1 species